GUUGGCGAGCAGCGCCAGAGGCAGAGAAUUCGACUGCAGCAGGAGAACGUGCCAGACAAAGUGGCUGUGGUGCACAUAGCUCGGGGCCUAAGUCAGGCGGGUGGCACUGAAGUGCGGUACAGUCUUUCAUAAAUUUAUGUUAGGAGGCGAAACAGGGGUUAAGAUGAGUAGAGGAGAAUGAUUGUCCGGCAUGCGCAGUUGAGGCCAUCGGAAAAAUCAAUUCAGCUAAAAGAGCGCCCGGUUCACGGAAUUGCAGGGCCACACCAACCAAAACAACGCCACCGAGAACAACAACAUCGCCAGUAAUAACAACAUUACUGCGCAACAUUUGUUGCGCCCAGGAGAAAACGGGAGGGGGGAGGCUUGCGGCCAGUCGAAGAAGCGCCGUCGCCCAAAACCACCCAUUGAACAACAACAACCUCGAAGCGCUACUGUGGAUGCGGGAGCGCUUAUGUAAUACAUGACCAAGAAGAUGACUGCGCAGUAAAUGGCUGAAUAGUCGGUGAAGAGAAGCAAACCUAAAUAGCGGUGGUUUUAGGUUUAGGUUUUAUACAAAUUUUGAUACUUCAAACGAAACGUUCAAAUACAAAGCAAACAGCUGAAGACUAUGUUAUAAUUUACAUGAAUCCUCUAUGUCAAAAGCCCAGCGAUGCACACAAUUGGUUGGUUGAAUCGUCAGCGCACAGUCUCCCAGUCAUUGUCCUGGCAAAAGUUUCUCACCGAACGUCCUUGUUUGAGGUUACUUAUGUGUAUAUUUGGCUUCCCUAGCACAUAACAGAAGGGGAGGCUAAAAAGAAGCCCCGUAUGUACUUAGUCUGCAGGGUUUCCCGCAUUCCCUACACAUUUACACUACCGUGUUCAUAGAGUUGAAAUUUCUGUUACCCUUUUUAAGUCUUAUUUUCAAUCAUAGCCGGACGACGUUGCCCUCCCAUUUCCCAACUGACUGCAGUCAAAGUAAUUCGAACGGGAGAACAUUCACUACACGCGUCUCCCUCAGGGCGUGAAAUUUAUCAACAUCACGGAAUUGGCAGUAGGAGUAGGAAGGUCGGAAAGAAGAAGUUACAGAAGCAUGGUUGGAUAGAGUGCACCCCUGUAGCAUGCAAAAGUUGAAGGGCACGGGAAUGACAAGACGCAGGACGUAAUCACGGCAUUCUGCUAAAGGAAUUAGAUAAACAUAUUAUAACAAUUUCUCAUUCUAAAGCAUUAAGAAUAUAAAAUAUUUCGUAUCCCACAUAGAAUUAAGAAAUGUUAGAUUUAGAAAAUAGCCGUUAUUUCAUGAAAUGUUAAUGUUAAUGUUAAAAAAAACAAACCAACAUUAAAAAUAGAGAGAAUACUGGCAAAUACA